AGGGGAAUUUUGCACAAUGGGGGAAAAACUGAUGCAGCGACGACGCGUGAUUUAGAAGGCCUUCGGGUUGUAAAAAUCUUUUCUAUGGGAAGAAAAUGACAGUACAAUAGGAAUAAGGAUCGGCUAAUUACGUGCCAGCAGCCGCGGUAAUACGUAAGGUCCGAGCGUUGUCCGGAAUCAUUGGGCGUAAAGGGUACGUAGGCGGGUAAGCAAGUUAGAAGUGAAAUCCUGUAGCUCAACUACAGUAAGCUUUUAAAACUGCUCAUCUUGAGAAAUGGAAGGUAAAGUGGAAUUCCUAGUGUAGCGGUGAAAUGCGCAGAUAUUAGGAGGAAUACCGGUGGCUAAGGAGACUUUCUGGCCAUAAUCUGACGCUGAGGUACGAAAGCGUGUGUAGCAAACAGG
rnacentral:rRNA from 1 species